rnacentral:rRNA from 1 species
UGGGGGAUAUUGCACAAUGGGCGAAAGCCUGAUGCAGCGACGCCGCGUGGGGGAUGAAGGCUUUCGGGUUGUAAACCUCUUUCGCUAUCGAACAAGGCCCGCUUAGGGUGGGUUGAGGGUAGGUGGAGAAGAAGCGCCGGCUAACUACGUGCCAGCAGCCGCGGUAAUACGUAGGGCGCGAGCGUUGUCCGGAAUUCUUGGGCGUAAAGGGCUUGUAGGCGGCUUGUUGCGCCUGCUGUGAAAACGCGGGGCUUAACUUCGCGCGUGCAGUGGGUACGGGCAGGCUUGAGUGUGGUAGGGGUGACUGGAAUUCCAGGUGUAGCGGUGGAAUGCGCAGAUAUCUGGAGGAACACCGAUGGCGAAGGCAGGUCACUGGGCCAUUACUGACGCUGAGGAGCGAAAGCAUGGGUAGCGAACAGG